UACGGAGGGGACUAGCGUUGUUCGGAAUUACUGGGCGUAAAGCGCACGUAGGCGGAUUUGUAAGUCAGGGGUGAAAUCCCGGGGCUCAACCUCGGAACUGCCUUUGAUACUGCAAAUCUCGAGUCCGGAAGAGGUGAGUGGAAUUCCUAGUGUAGAGGUGAAAUUCGUAGAUAUUAGGAAGAACACCAGUGGCGAAGGCAGCUCGCUGGGACGGUACUGACGCUGAGGCGCGAAAGCGUGGGGAGCAAACAGG
rnacentral:rRNA from 1 species